rnacentral:rRNA from 1 species
GAUGAACGCUGGCGGCGUGCCUAAUACAUGCAAGUCGAGCGGACAGAUGAGGAGCUUGCUCCUCUGACGUUAGCGGCGGACGGGUGAGUAACACGUGGAUAACCUACCUAUAAGACUGGGAUAACUUCGGGAACCCGGAGCUAAUAUCGGAUAAUAUAUUGAACCGCAUGGUUCAAUAGUGAAAGACGGUUUUGCUGUCACUUAUAGAUGGAUCCGCGCCGCAUUAGCUAGUUGGUAAGGUAACGGCUUACCAAGGCAACGAUGCGUAGCCGACCUGAGAGGGUGAUCGGCCACACUGGAACUGAGACACGGUCCAGACUCCUACGGGAGGCAGCAGUAGGGAAUCUUCCGCAAUGGGCGAAAGCCUGACGGAGCAACGCCGCGUGAGUGAUGAAGGUCUUCGGAUCGUAAAACUCUGUUAUUAGGGAAGAACAAAUGUGUAAGUAACUAUGCACGUCUUGACGGUACCUAAUCAGAAAGCCACGGCUAACUACGUG